rnacentral:rRNA from 1 species
AUCUGGUUCAGGAUGAACGCUGGCGGCGUGUCUAACACAUGCAAGUCGAACGGAGUUACGAGAGCUUGCUUUGUAACUAGUGGCGGACGGGUGAGUAAUGUAUGAGCAACCUGCCUUUCAGAGGGGGACAACAGUUGGAAACGACUGCUAAUACCGCAUAAUGUAUAACGAGGGCAUCCUUGAUAUACCAAAGGAGCAAUCCGCUGAAAGAUGGGCUCAUAUCUGAUUAGCUUGUUGGUGGGGUAACGGCCCACCAAGGCUGCGAUCAGUAGCCGGACUGAGAGGUUGAACGGCCACAUUGGGACUGAGAUACGGCCCAGACUCCUACGGGAGGCAGCAGUGGAGAAUAUUGGGCAAUGGGCGAAAGCCCUGACCCAGCAACGCCGCGUGAAGGAAGAAGGUCUUCGGAUUGUAAACUUCUUUUAUGAGGGACGAAGGACGUGACGGUACCUCAUGAAUAAGCCACGGCUAACUACGUGCCAGCCGCGGC